UACGUAGGUGGCAAGCGUUGUUCGGAAUUACUGGGCGUAAAGGGCGCGUAGGCGGCCUUCUAAGUCAGACGUGAAAUCCCCCGGCUUAACCUGGGAACUGCGUCUGAUACUGGGAGGCUUGAGUAUGGGAGAGGGAUGUAGAAUUCCAGGUGUAGCGGUGAAAUGCGUAGAUAUCUGGAGGAAUACCGGUGGCGAAGGCGGCAUCCUGGACCAUAACUGACGCUGAGGCGCGAAAGCUAGGGGAGCAAACGGG
rnacentral:rRNA from 1 species